rnacentral:rRNA from 1 species
GACUAACGCUAGCGGCAGGCCUAAUACAUGCAAGUCGAACGGCAGCACGGGUAGCAAUACCUGGUGGCGAGUGGCGCACGGGUGCGUAACGCGUAUGCAAUCUACCUGUAACUGGGGAAUAGCCUUCCGAAAGGAGAUUAAUACCGCAUAACAUCACGAAACGGCAUCGUUUUGUGAUCAAAUCUCCGGAGGUUACAGAUGAGCAUGCGUGACAUAGCUAGUUGGUGAGGUAACGGCUCACCAAGGCUACGAUGUCUAGGGGGUCUGAGAGGGAUGAUCAGCCACACUGGAACUGAGACACGGGUCCAGACACCUACGGGUGGCAGCAGUUUCGAAUCAUUCACAAUGGGUCAAAGCCUGAUGGUGCGACGCCGCGUGAGGGAU